GCAGCCGCGGUAAUACGUAGGGGGCGAGCGUUGUCCGGAAUGACUGGGCGUAAAGGGCGCGUAGGCGGCCGCAUAAGUCUGGAGUGAAAGUCCUGCUUUCAAGGUGGGAAUUGCUUUGGAGACUGUGUGGCUUGAGUGCGGAAGAGGCAAGUGGAAUUCCCAGUGUAGCGGUGAAAUGCGUAGAGAUUGGGAAGAACACCAGUGGCGAAGGCGACUUGCUGGGCCGUAACUGACGCUGAGGCGCGAAAGCGUGGGGAGCGAACAGGAUUAGAUACCCC
rnacentral:rRNA from 1 species